rnacentral:misc_RNA from 1 species
UGCUGGAUUUCAAUACCUUGGUGGGCCAGAAGAUGGUGGGAAAAAGAUAGAACUGAAGCCUGGGUUUCUAAUGGAGCAUGAUAAGGAUGUUGGAGCAGUUGUGGUUGGAUUUGAUCGUUAUUUCAACUACUACAAAGUACAGUAUGGAACACUAUGUGUAAGGGAAAACCCAGGGUGCCUCUUCAUUGCCACGAAUCGUGAUGCUGUCACUCAUCUCACAGAUGCUCAGGAAUGGGCAGGUGGUGGUUCUAUGGUUGGUGCAAUUGCUGGAUCAUCGCAGCGUGAACCACUGGUUGUUGGAAAGCCCUCAACUUUUAUGAUGGAUUACUUAGCAAACAAAUUCGGGAUUCUCAAGUCGCAGAUAUGCAUGGUUGGGGAUAGAUUGGAUACUGAUAUUCUGUUUGGACAAAAUGGUGGUUGCAAAACUCUUCUUGUUCUCUCAGGUGUGACUACAUUAUCAAUGCUUCAGGACCCCAGUAACUCCAUCCAACCAGAUUUCUACACAAACAAAAUUUCUGAUUUUCUCUCUCUCAAAGCAGCAACUGCAUGAGCGUGUCUAAACAUUUUACGCUGUCAUUUUGCCAAUUAUAAUUGCAGAUAUACAUCUCUUGGUUUCCAUCCAGAAAUUAGAAAUAAAGGAUGUUAAUUUUUGUGGAAGUCAGCAGGAUCAAGAGUUUUUUC